GAUGAACGCUGGCGGCGUGCCUAAUACAUGCAAGUCGAGCGAACAGACGAGGAGCUUGCUCCUCUGACGUUAGCGGCGGACGGGUGAGUAACACGUGGAUAACCUACCUAUAAGACUGGGAUAACUUCGGGAAACCGGAGCUAAUACCGGAUAAUAUAUUGAACCGCAUGGUUCAAUAGUGAAAGACGGUUUUGCUGUCACUUAUAGAUGGAUCCGCGCCGCAUUAGCUAGUUGGUAAGGUAACGGCUUACCAAGGCAACGAUGCGUAGCCGACCUGAGAGGGUGAUCGGCCACCCUGGAACGGAGACACGGUCCAGACCCCUACGGGGGGCAGCAGUGGGGAAUCUUCCGAAAGGGGCGAAAGCCUGACGGAGAAACGCCGGGGGAGGGAUGAAGGUUUUCGGAUCGAAAAACUUUUUUAUUAGGGAAAAAAAAAUGGGAAAGUAACUAUGCACGUUUUGACGGUACCUAAGCAGAAAGCCACGGCUAACUACGU
rnacentral:rRNA from 1 species